rnacentral:RNase_P_RNA from 1 species
UGAGUAAGCUAGACGAUCGCACCUAGAAUGCCUAAAGGUCCUAGGUGAGGAAAGUCCGAGCUCCAUAGGGCAGGAUGCCAGAUAACGUCUGGUGGAGGCAACUUCAAGGACAGUGCAACAGAGAUAAACCGCCAAAUCUAUUGAUUUGGUAAGGGUGGAAAGGCGAGGUAAGAGCUCACCGCCUCUUUGGUAACAAAGAGGGCAUAUGUAAACCCCAUCCGGAGCAAGACCGUACAAGAAGCUAUACGGCUGCCCGCCGUGCUUCUGGGUAGGUUGCUAGAGCUUGCUGGCGACAGUAAGCGAAGAGAGAUGAUCGUCCACGACAGAACUCGGCUUAUCGGCUUGCUCAUUGC